UAAACUUUUCUGGUUAGAAUUUUAGGGAGAAGAAGAGGUGUUUGUAUAAUAGUUGCGCAUUUUAAGGAUAAUUUGCUUCUUAUCUUGAAAUAAUGUUUGAAGUUCUUCCCCUUUCAUUGUUUUAGCUGUCAUUACAUUUAAAAAUUUUCGAUAUCUCAAUAUUUGGCUCUGUAAAAUUAAUGUUAUUAGUUAAAUAAUUGUGCUUGUUUGUCUUAUUCUUAUUCUAAUUUUUAUUUUCGUGAACGCUACAUUGAUAUUUCUCAAUGUAUUCCCUUUUUCUCCCACUUAUGUAUGUAUUUUUUCCAUAUUGCAUUAAAUUGUAAAUUACUUUAACAAAUCAUGAACUAAUUGAAACAAGAAUGGAAGAAAAUAGAAAUAAUGUGUCUGCCCAAGAAAGAACUUCUGAGAGAAAUUUGCGUCGUCGUACCAGAUAUGCACAGAUGUCACCAGAGAGAAAGCAAGUAUUUUUAUCCGAGCUAAGAGAAUAAAGGGCUGAGUCAAAAAGACAAAAACACCUUCAUCAAUCAAAUACUACUGCCGCUCUUACAAUCAAUAGUUCUUCAUUAUCGCCUCAGGAAGUUGAAGCUUCUGAAGACACAAACCUACCAGUUACUUUAACUACAGGACAUCAUCAAUCAAAUAGUACUGGCGCCCUUACAAUCAACACUUCUUCGUUAUCUCCUCAACAAGUUGAAGCUUUCGAAGUUACAAACCUACCAGUUAAUUUAACUACAGGAGAACAUCAAUUAAAUAGUACUGGCUCCCUUACAAUCAGCACUUCUUUGUUAUUUCCUCAAGAAGUUGAAGCUUCUGAAGCUAUAAACCUACCAGUUACUUCAACUAGAGGAGAAAGUAUAGUUAAUUGCUUAUCUACCUUUGAAGUAGGAUCAACGUCGGGUUCAUCUUAUGCUGCAAGCAGAUCAAGUUCAAGACGUACAUCAAAUAGAGGUAUGCUUCUCUCUACCAUAGUAAAAAAAUUGUAUGCCUUUAUGUAACAAAUAAUUGCUUUUUACCAUGCACAGGUAGAAAUAAGUUAGAAGUAAAUCUACAAAAUGAUAAUUUAUUGCUAAAAGAUUACUUACUUUUAAAGAAAAUUCCAAAUUACAAAUUUUGUGCAGCAAAAAGAUUUCAAUAUGAAUCACCAGGUUUUUGUUGUAAUAAUGGAUAAUUAGGCUAACUUCUCAUAACAUGCUAUUGAGUUGAGAAAUUUAUUCUUACGUG